AAGGCUUAAGUUAAAUUAAAAAUAAUAAUAUUCAAAAUUAUAUAUAAAGAAAUCUCUUUAAGCCUUA
rnacentral:tRNA from 1 species